rnacentral:rRNA from 1 species
AUGAACGCUAGCUACAGGCUUAACACAUGCAAGUCGAGGGGAAACGAUAUUGGAAGCUUGCUUCCGAUAGGCGUCGACCGGCGCACGGGUGAGUAACGCGUAUCCAACCUGCCCAUCACUUGGGGAUAACCUUGCGAAAGUAAGACUAAUACCCAAUGACGUCUCUAGAAGACAUCUGAAAGAGAUUAAAGAUUUAUCGGUGAUGGAUGGGGAUGCGUCUGAUUAGCUUGUUGGCGGGGUAACGGCCCACCAAGGCGACGAUCAGUAGGGGUUCUGAGAGGAAGGUCCCCCACAUUGGAACUGAGACACGGUCCAAACUCCUACGGGAGGCAGCAGUGAGGAAUAUUGGUCAAUGGGCGAGAGCCUGAACCAGCCAAGUAGCGUGCAGGAAGACGGCCCUAUGGGUUGUAAACUGCUUUUAUAAGGGAAUAAAGUGAGUCUCGUGAGACUUUUUGCAUGUACCUUAUGAAUAAGGACCGGCUAAUUCCGUGCCAGCAGCCGCGGUAAUACGGAAGGUCCGGGCGUUAUCCGGAUUUAUUGGGUUUAAAGGGAGCGUAGGCCGGAGAUUAAGCGUGUUGUGAAAUGUAGACGCUCAACGUCUGCACUGCAGCGCGAACUGGUUUCCUUGAGUACGCACAAAGUGGGCGGAAUUCGUGGUGUAGCGGUGAAAUGCUUAGAUAUCACGAAGAACUCCGAUUGCGAAGGCAGCUCACUGGAGCGCAACUGACGCUGAAGCUCGAAAGUGCGGGUAUCGAACAGGAUUAGAUACCCUGGUAGUCCACGCUGUAAACGAUGAUUACUAGGUGUGGGGGGUCUGACCCCUUCCGUGCCGGAGUUAACACAAUAAGUAAUCCACCUGGGGAGUACGACCGCAAGGUUGAAACUCAAAGGAAUUGACGGGGGCCCGCACAAGCGGUGGAUUAUGUGGUUUAAUUCGAAGCAACGCGAAGAACCUUACCAAGUCUUGACAUCCUUCUGACCGGUACUUAACCGUACCUUCUCUUCGUAGCAGGAGUGACAGGUGGUGCAUGGUUGUCGUCAGCUCGUGCCGUGAGGUGUCGGCUUAAGUGCCAUAACGAGCGCAACCCCUCUCCUUAGUUGCCAUCAGGUGAAGCUGGGCACUCUGGGGACACUGCCACCGUAAGGUGUGAGGAAGGUGGGGAUGACGUCAAAUCAGCACGGCCCUUACGUCCGGGGCUACACACGUGUUACAAUGGCAGGUACAGAGAGACGGUUGUACGCAAGUACGAUCAAAUCCUUAAAGCCUGUCUCAGUUCGGACUGGGGUCUGCAACCCGACCCCACGAAGCUGGAUUCGCUAGUAAUCGCGCAUCAGCCAUGGCGCGGUGAAUACGUUCCCGGGCCUUGUACACACCGCCCGUCAAGCCAUGAAAGCCGGGGGCGCCUAAAGUCCGUGACCGUAAGGAGCGGCCUAGGGCGAAACUGGUAAUUGGGGCU